rnacentral:rRNA from 1 species
CCUACGGGAGGCAGCAGUGGGGGAUAUUGCACAAUGGGGGAAACCCUGAUGCAGCAACGCCGCGUGAGUGAAGAAGUAUUUCGGUAUGUAAAGCUCCAUUAGUAGGGAAGAGAAUGACGGUACCUGACCAAGAAGCCCCGGCUAACUAGGUGCCAGCAGCCGCGGUAAGACGUAGGGGGCGAGCGUUAUCCGGAUUUACGGGGUGUAAAGGGAGCGUAGACGGCUGGUCAAGUCUGAAGUGAAAGUCAGGGGCUUAACCCCGGAACGGCUUUGGAAACUGAGCAGCUAGAGUGCUGGAGAGGUAAGCGGAAUUCCUGGUGUAGCGGUGAAAUGCGUAGAUAUUAAGAGGAACACCAGUGGCGAAGGCGGCUUACUGGACAGUAACUGACGUUGAGGCACGAAAGCGUGGGGAGCAAACAGGAUUAGAUACCCGGGUAGUC